AUGUGACACAACCAUGGUGAUGAAAAGAAAUCAGCUGUGGUUGGGUGGUGAUAGCAAAGUGUAAGCUUUCAUUGGUACAGAGGCUUACUCCUUUCUGCCUUUGGUUACUGUGCUGCUUGUGCUUGCUGUAGCCUUCCUGUUUCAAUGAUGAGAAGGCCAAAGGAAUCUGUGAGCUGACCCAGAGCCCGCAUGUUGUUGACAAGCCACAGAGUUGCCCAACCUCUUUUAUUGUCGAGUUAUUUUGAUUCAGGGAAUUGCUGAAGAUUCUGAAAUUGUGAACUGACAAGCCCGUGGAUGUCUACAAAGAGUGAACUGAUCACUGUGGGCUGGCCUUUGAGGCAUCAGCAAGCUCCAGUGCCUGGGACGAUGCCUGACACUUAGCAGACAGUCAGUGAAUAUGUGUUAUAUAAAUGAAUGAAUACUUGGAGCGUGAGAAUCAGAGCGGCAAAAAUAUUUGUCCAUAAUAUGCCUAAAGAUAAAAAUGGAAGCCUCCGAACUAGAUAAAUGCAUUGUAAUUGAAUGCUGAAUUCACCAGAUAACAUCUGAGAUUUAUUAAGCAUCAAGUCAUGUCUUAAAAAUUUUAUAUACAUUUUAGGAUUUAACUCUUAUAAAAAUCCUGUGGGUAAGUACUGUUGUCUCUCCCACUUUACAGGUAGAGAGGCUGCGGUUCAGAGAGAUUAGGUAACUCAACUAAGGUCAAAAAGUCAGGGAGCUGGGCCUUUAUAUAAAACACCAGAAUGAGCUCUUGUGUAGAACCCUUGAGAGAGAUUUUAAUCUAAUGGCUGCAAUUUUAAAUUGUGUUCAGCUGUGGUAUGUAGUUUUUCAAGGAAGAUGACCCACAGCCUUUCUUGCUUUCUGGCUUUGUAAAAGAUAGAGAUGACCACUUAAACAUUCAAGGAAAAUAAUUCCUGACUUUGAAAUCAGAAGCUCAUUCAGAUAAUAUACUUACUUAUAAACAUCCUCUCUAAUGUCUGAAUAAAGCAAGAGUAAAAGAUUGAUUGAACAGCAACAAAUACUUUAACAGUUAAAAAUAAA
rnacentral:antisense_RNA from 1 species